GACGAACGCUGGCGGCGUGCUUAACACAUGCAAGUCGAGCGGUAAGGCCCUUUCGGGGGUACGACGAGCGGCGAACGGGUGAGUAACACGUGGGUGACCUGCCCUCAGCUCUGGGAUAAGCCUGGGAAACCGGGUCUAAUACCGGAUAUGACUCCAUGACGCAUGUUGUGGGGUGGAAAGCCUUGUGCGGCUGAGGAUGGGCCCGCGGCCUAUCAGCUUGUUGGUGGGGUGANGGCCUACCAAGGCGACGACGGGUAGCCGGCCUGAGAGGGCGACCGGCCACACUGGGACUGAGACACGGCCCAGACUCCUACGGGAGGCAGCAGUGGGGAAUCUUGCGCAAUGGGCGAAAGCCUGACGCAGCGACGCCGCGUGAGGGAUGACGGCCUCGGUUGUAAC
rnacentral:rRNA from 1 species